CGUGAUCCAAAGUAGAUAUUGUCAUAUAUCAGUUCGGAGCACUUCGCAGACGUAGGAGGGGUUCUCUCUUAGUUCUUAAAGUCCUUCUCCACUUUGCUGCCAUGGAAUGGAAGGGUUUUACAAGUCUGCAGGGG
rnacentral:lncRNA from 14 species